rnacentral:rRNA from 1 species
GAUGAACGCUAGCGAUAGGCUUAACACAUGCAAGUCGAGGGGCAGCACAAGGUAGCUUGCUAUCUGGGUGGCGACCGGCGCACGGGUGCGUAACGCGUAUGCAACUUGCCCUAUACAGGAGGAUAACCCGUCGAAAGACGGACUAAUACUGCGUAUGCUCACAACUUGGCAUCAAGUGGUGAGGAAAGAAAUUCGGUAUAGGAUAGGCAUGCGUCCCAUUAGCUUGUUGGUGAGGUAACGGCUCACCAAGGCAACGAUGGGUAGGGGAACUGAGAGGUUUAUCCCCCACACUGGUACUGAGACACGGACCAGACUCCUACGGGAGGCAGCAGUGAGGAAUAUUGGUCAAUGGGCGCGAGCCUGAACCAGCCAAGUCGCGUGAAGGAUGACUGUCUUAUGGAUUGUAAACUUCUUUUAUACGGGAAUAACAAGAGUCACGUGUGACUCCCUGCAUGUACCGUAUGAAUACGCAUCGGCUAACUCCGU